UUAUUCAUCAAACUCACCAGAUUUAUUGUGUUUUGUUUUGUUUUGUUUUUUUCCUCCCCUGAAAGUAUUUUUCGUUUGUUUUCUCCACUUCUGGUCGCGGCUUCCAGAGGUGAGGGCUGAAGAGAUGACAGGAGUUACCCCACCGGAUGUGACGUGUUUGGAGGGAUUCUCCCCGGAAGAUUCCUCCCGAAUAGCCAAACCAAUAAAUAUCAAUAAAACCUCCACAAACGUUUAUUGUCCUCACAUUUGGCUCGUGUGCCGCGCCACAAAACGAGAGCCAGCGGACUGAAGAAAGUGUCUGAAAUUGACAGAGACGUUUUAAUUUCCUCCGUGAAGGACGACGAGGACGGAACAUGGCGCGGGCGGACAGAGAUGCUCCAAAUGACAGAGGGUCGUGUUGUCCUGCGUGGAGUGAGUCUCGGUGGGAUUUGCUGACAGGCCGCUCUCUGUGUUACUGAACAUGUUCAGCUUCAUUCUGUGUCUGAGGAUUUAUCCCAGAAUCCAAACAAAAUGUAAGGGAGCAGCAGAGGGCCUCUAAACCACAAAACAACGACUACUCACAACACGGCUUUGAGACCAAUUAUAUCAUGAGGUUUUAAAGAAGGGCAAGACAUGCGACAAGGGUCAUCAGGCCAGGAAUCGAACCAGCAACAGCCAC